UUUAAGUGUAAUUGUAGGUUUCUAUGUCCAAUGUUUGAUCAUCUAUCUUAUUUGAAUUUUUUUUCAUUAUUAGUAUUUUUAUUGUUAUUACACGAUAAAACAUGAUAAUACUUUGUACAUGAUUUAUUUUUAAUUUUUUUUAUAAAUUUUUCAACUAAGACGGACGAUCAAACAUUGGGCACAGAAACCCACAACUGCGCUUAAA
rfam:Oryza sativa Japonica Group DNA, chromosome 8, cultivar: Nipponbare, complete sequence.